GGGCAGUGGAUUGACGACUAGGAAAUCAGGGCAAGGAGAAAGGCAGGGGAUUGUUCCAUUUUGAUUUCUCAAAUUCUGACUUUAUAUGUCAGAAGAAUAAACAUUACUUCCUCUCUUUGCUAAACAGGAUGUCACCAUUCCUACCGUCGCACUACAAAUUCAGGAUGUUGCCAAGCCCCAGGCUGGAAUGAGUUCUAGCCGCCUAUGACUUUACUAAACCUUACGACAUGUGGGAAGGGGAGAAUGAGAGUCCCAUGAACUGCUCGAUUUGAGGUCAUGUUAAGUGAUCAGGUGGUUUGACAUCUAUUGAACUACAUCGAGUGUUAUUUACAAGGCAGCCAAUGACAGCAGAGGUGGAGGCCUAUAUCAUUGUUGUAGGGCACAUGGAGGUGCUGCUCGGGUGAAGGGCCAGGGAAGCGGCGACCUCUGGGUCGGUGAGGUCAGCUUGACUGAUGUGUGGUUUGACUGGUAUUACAUGAUUUGAUCAACUUAUCUUUUUUGAAAAAUGAUACACUGAUUUACAUGAUUUUGUGUUGUACCUAAUUGGCAGGAUUGUCAAUAGUUGCAUUAUU